GGAAUAAAAGUUGUCUGGAGUACCAACAAAAAAAUGUGUUGUUAAAAGGUUACAAUUAUGGUAUUCCCUGAAGCACUUAGAGCUGAAUGUGUUCCACUACAAUCAUGUAGCUUUCUCUAUUGCUUAGGUUGUGCCGAAAAAAUGAGUUUACAAAAGAACGAUAGUUAAAAAGACAAAACAAAACAAAAAAAUUUCAGUGGCAUCGGAUUAGAAAUGCGCCUUUUAUGGGGCCAAGACUUUAAAUCGAGAUAUCGGUCUACAUGGCAGCUAUAUACAAAUCGGGACCGAUUUGGGCCAAGUUGCGGAAAAAUGUCGAAGAGCCAACCCACUGUCCCAAAUUUCGGCGAAAGCGGACAAUAAAUGCGCCUUUUAUGGCCCCAAAACCUAAAACCGAGAGAUCAGUCUAUAUGGCAGCUAUAUCCAAAUCUGAACCGAUCAGGACCAAAUUGAUGUCAUGGGUUACAAAGAUGUCAUGGGCCUAAGACAACUCACUGUCCCAAAUUUCAGCAGAAUUAAAUAAUAAAUGUGGCUUUUAUGGGCCUAAGACCCUA